rnacentral:rRNA from 1 species
UACGAAGGGGGCUAGCGUUGCUCGGAAUUACUGGGCGUAAAGGGCGCGUAGGCGGCACUGUUAGUCAGGCGUGAAAUUCCCGGGCUCAACCUGGGGACUGCGCUUGAUACGGCAGAGCUAGAGGAUGGAAGAGGGUCGUGGAAUUCCCAGUGUAGAGGUGAAAUUCGUAGAUAUCGGGAGGAACACCAGUGGCGAAGGCGGCGCCUGGGCCAAUAUUGACGCUGAGGUGCGAAAGCGUGGGGAGCAAACAGG